rnacentral:sRNA from 1 species
AAUCAGAUCUGCCGGUGCCAAAGAUUAGUAAAGACGAUGACUAUGACUAAGGUUCGACUCGAGCGAAGCGAGAGAACGUUGCCGCAGGCAACGGCCCGAAGGGCGAGGCGCUUUAGCGCCGAGUAAUCCUUCCCCCACCACCA